GGUGGCCAUUUUAUUUUAUUAGAGGAACCUGUUAAAUAAUCGAUAAUCCACGUUAAUCUUUACUUUUAUUUAAAUUUUAUAUACCUCCAUCUGUAGAGUUUAUUAUUAAAAUUUUAUUCUAGAUAGAUUAAAUCUAAUAAGUUAGGUAAAGGUGUAGACUAUAUAAAAGUUAUAAUGGGUUACAAUAAAAAUAAUUUAAGGAUUUAAAGAAACACUUCUAUAAAGAAAAAGGAUUUAUUAGUAUAAUUUUAAUAAUACUAAAAUUUGAAAAUUAAUAAAAAUGUGCACACAUCGCCCGUCGCUCUU
rnacentral:rRNA from 1 species